rnacentral:lncRNA from 1 species
CUUUGUCCUCUGUUUCAUGCAGCAACAGCGGCGGCGCAUGCUGCUCCUUCCCUGCCAGAGGGCCUCACUGGACGCACUAUUGCCAAUGGCCAAAGCGGGGCUAGCCUCUCCCAGCGUCUAAGUGAGCGCCUUUAUGCUGCCUAAUUUUUCCAUACACAGUCAAUAUGUCAUUCGUAGAUAAGAUAAAAACCAAAUAAUUUGUAUUGUCAAUGCAUUACAUAACGUGGGUUUCCCAGAGUUAUAAUGCAAAGCCACUGGCUGUUUCCUGCCACUAACAUUCAAGAAAAGGGAAGCACUGGCCUGUUUGUUUAUUUGAACUGGCGUGUUACUGUUUUUCGGCCAGGUACCUGGAAAACUCUCAACCUAUACUUAUCAGUUACCACAUUCCAAAAAAGUAUCUAAUCCAUAAAUAUGAAUUCAUACAUCCUUAGCUUGCUUUGCUAUACAGUAACUGCUGGAUUUGACCUUGCUAUCCUUGAUCUAGUGUGCCUAAUUGUCUAGGUUUUGGGUUCAUUUCAGUUAAGUUUCAUGCAACAACCAGUAGAACCAAAAUCUGAACUGACAAACCAACUGUUUCGUGAAACUUAAUAUGGUAUCAGGGCCAAGAGGUUGUGGGUUCAAGUCUCAGCGUUGGCCAUCUAAAUAAGAAAAUUAUUUUCCCCUCCUUCUGUCCAUGGUUAGGCCAAUCUUCUCACAUCAAUUGGGACUAUCGGUUCUACUGGGUGGUGCAUGAAAAUUGAUAAUUCCAAUGGUCCUUCAACAUCUAGACAUCGUUAAGCAUGGAACAAUCCUGUUAGGAAAAAGGUGGCCGCUAGGCGCUAGUCGGAUGUACCGAUUAAAACAUCAGCCUCCUUUCCCACCGUUCGACCAGUCUUGAUCUAAACGUUCCUACCCGCUGAUAGUUAAAGCGAACGAACGCUUCGCAAUGAAACACGUGAAGCACGCAACAUGUUUGCUUCUUUUUCCCCGUGGCACCGGAGGUGCUCCAGCAGCAUCGGUGUCAUGUCAGCACCAGACACAACAUCGCCAUUGCCUGGGCGAACCACGCCGACGAGACCUUGCAGCACCGCCGCUGACUGAAUCACAUGAUCUUCGCUACAGUUCCCUCCGUCGCCUUGUCACGGCAACCUGCUCCCGGUCAUAGCC